rnacentral:rRNA from 1 species
CCCGCGCCCCGUAAAACGGGACGGCCCGCCCGAGGACCCCUAAACUCUGUUUUUAGUGGAACUUCUGAGUAAAACAAACAAAUAAAUCAAAACUUUCAACAACGGAUCUCUUGGUUCUGGCAUCGAUGAAGAACGCAGCAAAAUGCGAUAAGUAAUGUGAAUUGCAGAAUUCAGUGAAUCAUCGAAUCUUUGAACGCACAUUGCGCCCGCCAGUAUUCUGGCGGGCAUGCCUGUUCGAGCGUCAUUUCAACCCUCAAGCUCAGCUUGGUGUUGGGACUCGCGGUAACCCGCGUUCCCCAAAUCGAUUGGCGGUCACGUCGAGCUUCCAUAGCGUAGUAAUCAUACACCUCGUUACUGGUAAUCGUCGCGGCCACGCCGUUAAACCCCAA